AGUGAACGUUGGCGGCGUGGAUUAGGCAUGCAAGUCGAGCGAGAACCGUAGCAAUACGGGGACAGCGGCGAACGGGACAGUAAUGUGUAGGUACCUACCCCUGGGUCCGGGACAGCUGCGGGAAACUGCAGGUAAUACCGAAUAAUGUCUGCGGAUCAAAGGUGUGAUUCCACCUGGGGAGGGACCUGCAACCUAUUAGCUUGUUGGUGGGGUAACAGCUUACCAAGGCGACGAUGGGUAGCGGGUGUGAGAGCAGGACCCGCGUCAUUGGGACUGAGACACUGCCCAGACACCUACGGGUGGCUGCAGUCGAGGAUCUUCGGCAAUGGGCGCAAGCCUGACCGAGCGACGCCGCGUGCGGGAUGAAGGCCUUCGGGUUGUAAACCGCUGUCGUAGAGGAGGAAAUGCAGGAGGGUUCUCCCUUCUGUUUGACCUAUUCUAGGAGGAAGUACGGGCUAAGUUCGUGCCAGCAGCCGCGGUAA
rnacentral:rRNA from 1 species